AACGCACCUUGCGCCCCUUGGUAUUCCGAGGGGCAUGCCUGUUUGAGUGUCAGUAAAUUCUCAACUUUUCAGGUUUUCCUUGUGAUGCCUGGCAAAGCUUGGACUUGGAGCGUGCUGGCUUCUUGCGAGGUCAGCUCCUCUUUAAAUGCAUUAGCGAAACCUCUUGUGGAUCAGCUUUGGUGUGAUAAUUAUCUACGCCGUCGCUGUGACGCAACUCGUGAAGGCUUUGCUUCCAAAUCCACGUUCCCUUUGGGACGAUUGACAAUUUGACCUCAAAUCAGGUAGGACUACCCGCUGAACUUAA
rnacentral:misc_RNA from 1 species